GGGGAAGAAGCUACAAUUAGCAAUUAGUUGUUACCUAAUAGAUAGUGAAUAAACCUCACCUACCCCA
rnacentral:tRNA from 1 species